GAUGAAGAACGUAGUGAAAUGCGAUAAGUAAUGUGAAUUGCAGAAUUCAGUGAAUCAUCGAAUCUUUGAACGCAUCUUGCGCUCCUUGGUAUUCUGAGGAGCAUGCCUGUUUGAGUGUCAUUAAAUUCUCAACCGCACUGACUUUGAAUUGGUGUGGCUUGGAUUUGGGGGGAAAAUUGUUGUGGGCUUUUUUGUAUAGUCUGCUCCCCUGAAAUUGAUUAGCGGUACCUUUGUGGAACUGUCUACAGGUGUGAUAAUUAUCUACAUCCUAGACAUCUGCUGGAAUGCUGCUUUCUAAACCUUACUUGUAUUGACAAUCUUGACCUCAAAUCAGGUAGGACUACCCGCUGAACUUAAGCAUAUCAAUAGCGGAGGA
rnacentral:misc_RNA from 1 species